rnacentral:rRNA from 1 species
UACGUAGGGGGCAAGCGUUGUCCGGAAUUAUUGGGCGUAAAGAGCGCGUAGGCGGUCCGAUAAGUCGGCUGUGAAAGUCAGGGGCUCAACCCUUGGAAGCCGGCCGAUACUGUCGGACUAGAGUCCGGAAGAGGCGAGUGGAAUUCCCGGUGUAGUGGUGGAAUGCGUAGAUAUCGGGAGGAACACCAGUGGCGAAGGCGGUUGCCUGGGGCUUUGCUGACGCUGAGACGCGAAAGCGUGGGGAGCAAACAGG